AUUGAACGCUGGCGGCAUGCCUUACACAUGCAAGUCGAACGGCAGCACGGGAGCAAUCCUGGUGGCGAGUGGCGAAACGGGUGAGUAAUAUAUCGGAACGUGCCCGGUCGUGGGGGAUAACGUAGCGAAAGCUACGCUAAUACCGCAUACGAUCUACGGAUGAAAGCGGGGGAUCGCAAGACCUCGCGCGAUUGGAGCGGCCGAUAUCAGAUUAGGUAGUUGGUGAGGUAAAGGCUCACCAAGCCGACGAUCUGUAGCUGGUCUGAGAGGACGACCAGCCACACUGGGACUGAGACACGGCCCAGACUCCUACCGGGAGGCAGCAGGUGGGGAAUUUUGGGACAAUGGGCGCGAAGCCUGAUCCAGCAAUGCCGCGU
rnacentral:rRNA from 1 species